rnacentral:rRNA from 1 species
GACGAACGCUGGCGGCGUGCUUAACACAUGCAAGUCGAACGGAAAGGCCCUGCUUUUGUGGGGUGCUCGAGUGGCGAACGGGUGAGUAACACGUGAGUAACCUGCCCUUGACUUUGGGAUAACUUCAGGAAACUGGGGCUAAUACCGGAUAGGAGCUCCUGCUGCAUGGUGGGGGUUGGAAAGUUUCGGCGGUUGGGGAUGGACUCGCGGCUUAUCAGCUUGUUGGUGGGGUAGUGGCUUACCAAGGCUUUGACGGGUAGCCGGCCUGAGAGGGUGACCGGCCACAUUGGGACUGAGAUGCGGCCCAGACUGCUACGGGGGGCAGCAGUGGGGAAUAUUGCACAAUGGGCGGAGGCCGGGUGCAGCAACGCCGCGUGCGGGAUGACGGCCUUCGGGUUGUAAACCGCUUUCGCCUGUGACGAAGCGUGAGUGACGGUAAUGGAUAAAAAAGCACCGGCUAACUACGUG